GUGACGGCGGCGGCGGCGGCUGAGGGGGUGGUUGUGGCCGUGGGCACCGAGGGAGGAGACACACACACCCCCCCCCCUCCCAGGCCCCGCCGUUACUUCAUCCCCGGGGGUGCCGAGGGACUGGAAGAGGCUCUAAGGUCUCCCCGAAGCCUUCCUUCUCCAGGCCAAACACCCCCACGUCUCUCAGCCUGUCCUUGCAGCAGAGGGGCUCCAGCCCUCUGAGCAUCUCCGAGGCCUUUUCUGGACACUCUCCAACAAGCCCAUGCCCUUCUGAUGUUGAGGGCUCCAGAGCUGGAUGCAGCACUGCAGGUGCACACACCACUCCUGCUCAGAACCAUGUGGUGUCCUGACAGCCGUGCGACUUCGUCUACAAGCUAUGCAACCUGCCUGUGCAGCAAGGUUGGAGUUAAAUUAUGGCCCCUCUUGUGAGACAGAAGCCAACAGCUCGAGCACCACACUCAGAAAACACAUUCUGUACCACAUCUGCAUGAGGACGGCCAAUCGUUGCCCUAAUCUUUAUGUCACCCACUCUGUACAUCUGUAAUUAAAGGUUUCCAGUAACUAGCAAUUUGUCCAUCUGAAGCAAUGCUGGUAUGUGUAC